GAGAGCGACAGAGAGAGAGAGAGAGAGAGAGAGAGAGAGAGAGAGAGCUUUAAGAUGUUUUUGAUACAUUUGUGGGCUACUGUAAAUUUCAUGUUAUUUCACACACACACACACACACACACACACACACACACACACACUACAUAUACAAAGAUUAUAUAUAACUGAGAGGUGUGAAAAGAACAGAUCAUCUCUCUCUUGAGCAGGUAUGAUACCAAAAUAAGAUGACGUGUGUGUGUGUGUGUGUGUGUGUGUGUGUGUGUGUGUGUGUGUGUGUGUGUGUGUGACAGAGCUAUGUUUCAACAUGAGUAGAUAUACAGCACAAAAACCCAAACAAAUAUAAAAUCUUAUAAAAGUGACCUUUCAGCAAAUCAGCCAUCUCCUUGUGCACUAUAACACAAUCACAAUGUUUUCACAAACAUCACAUAAUAGUGUCCAGGAUGGAGAAAUGAACACAGUCACGGAGCAAAUCAGAAGUAAAUUAACGUGGACUUUAAUGACGUGUUUCCAGAUAUUUCUGAAAAAGUAACCAGUAACCUGUGACACGAUAACAGAGUAAUCGGUUGUUAUUCUAACACAAUGUAAACGUCUGCUCGUCUAACACGCUUUCCUACAGCUGCUUCUAGAAAAAAGCUCCUAAUAUAACCAUAAAAAGAUGCAGAAAUGGGUGUACAAACCCCGCCCACUCUCAGCCAGGCCCCGCCCACACUGCAGCAUUUAUCCUGUCCUCAGUGAACUGUUGUGUAACAUGCAGCAUUUUAAUUCCCACAGUCUGAGACACAGCGUAGGCCACCCGCUAUAAAUAGACACCUGUGUGUGUGUGUGUGUGUGUGUGUGUGUGUGUGUGUGUGUGUGUGUGUGUGUGUGUGUGUGUGUGUGUGUGUGUGUGUGUGUAAGGAAAUAGACUUAAAGCUCCAACAAAUGUAUAGAAACAUAGAGGAUUUAUGCCAGAUUGUGUCUGUCUUACCUUGAACCCCAUACCCCACCAACCUCCACACACACACACACACACACACACACACACGUUUUUAUGCUGAUGUUAAUUCAGAUCAGGUUUAUGUAUGCAGCACAACAGACUUUGUCACUCUGCAGCAUUACAGACAGAUUGAGAUGUGAGUGAGUCACCAGUGCUGUGGUGAGGAGGAACCUCCCUGAGAGAACAUGCAGAAACCUCGAGAGGAACCAGACUGCUGAGGAUCCAGUGCUGCUGAGAGUGAAAAACUAAAGUAAACGCCCCCCUCAGCUCGGAUUCACACGCAGGAAUCUCCUCGCCUCCGAGUUUAGCAAAUCAACAUGGCUGCUCCCAGCAUCCGAUCUAGAGAUGAGUACAGAUGAACACGGAGCUCGAACACACAGAAAUGACAUGAUGAGAAGCUGCUGGACACAAAGCUACAGAAUCCAAGUGAAAUGAGAUACUGAGGAACUACUGAGAGACCGACUCUACAUCACAGCACUGAUCCACUGAGUUCACGGGUUAAAGUGUGGGCUUUUUAUUUCAGCUGAUCUCUUCCUUUAACAGUGGACUCAUGAUGAAAUGCCAUAUAAUACAGUAUAUACAGCAGAGAUGGGGGACUCGAGUCAUAUGAC